rnacentral:rRNA from 1 species
ACGCUGGCGGCAGGCCUAACACAUGCAAGUCGAGCGGCAGCACAGGUACUUGUACCGGGUGGCGAGCGGCGGACGGGUGAGUAAUGCCUAGGAAUCUGCCUGGUAGUGGGGGAUAACGCUCGGAAACGGACGCUAAUACCGCAUACGUCCUACGGGAGAAAGCAGGGGACCUUCGGGCCUUGCGCUAUCAGAUGAGCCUAGGUCGGAUUAGCUGGUUGGUGGGGUAAUGGCUCACCAAGGCGACGAUCCGUAACUGGUCUGAGAGGAUGAUCAGUCACACUGGAACUGAGACACGGUCCAGACUCCUACGGGAGGCAGCAGUGGGGAAUAUUGGACAAUGGGCGCAAGCCUGAUCCAGCCAUGCCGCGUGUGUGAAGAAGGUCUUCGGAUUGUAAAGCACUUUAAGUUGGGAGGAAGGGCCGUUACCUAAUACGUGAUGGUUUUGACGUUACCGACAGAAUAAGCACCGGCUAACUCUGUGCCAGCAGCCGCGGUAAUACAGAGGGUGCAAGCGUUAAUCGGAAUUACUGGGCGUAAAGCGCGCGUAGGUGGUUUGUCAAGUUGAAUGUGAAAGCCCCGGGCUCAACCUGGGAACUGCAUGCAAAACUGGCAGGCUAGAGUAUGGUAGAGGGUGGUGGAAUUUCCUGUGUAGCGGUGAAAUGCGUAGAUAUAGGAAGGAACACCAGUGGCGAAGGCGACCACCUGGACUGAUACUGCACAC